GGAAGGAAGGCAGAUGGAGAAGACAAAAAAAAAGUAAAGAGGGGAAGAGAGGGCGUGUGAGGGCCGGCACAGUUGAGGUGAUCUCGGCCUUCUCUCACCCAUGCACCCGUUUCAUUUCCUUUUUUUUCCCUUUUCAGUCUUUCCUU
rnacentral:ribozyme from 11 species